rnacentral:lncRNA from 1 species
UUUCUUUCUUUUUUUUUUUUUUUUUUAAUAUUUAAAUUUUUUUGGUCUUUUUGUCUUUCUAGGGCCACACCCUCAGCACAUGGAGGUUCCCAGGCUAGGGGACGAAUUGGAGCUGUUGCUGCCUGCCUAUGCCAGAGCCACAGCAAUGCCAGAUCCCAGCAGCGUCUGCGACUUACACCACAGCUCAUGGCAACACCGGAUACUUAACCCAUUGAGCGAGGCCAGAGAUCGAACCUGCCAGCUCAUGGUUCCUAGUCGGAUUCAUUCCCGCUGUGCCACGAUGGGAACUCCCCAAGCAUUUCAUGUUUUGUCAUCUUUGGUUUUGUCUUGUGAUAUUAGUACAUACAAUUACUUCUUAAUCUGCUAUUUAGAUGGGUUUUUAUUCCUAACUGCUCUUGUCUAACGUUGACAAACAAGAUUUCUUUGUCAUACCUCUGGAGAUUAUGUAAUCAUAGCAGAUUACAUAGGCAUGGGCCAGACUUGGCAUAUGUUAGAAAUGUUUCUUUUUGGAGUUCCUGUCAUGGGUCGGCCAGUUAAGAACCUGAGUAGUAUUCAUGAGGAUUCGUGUUUGACCCCUGGCCUUGCUCACUGGGUUAAGUAUGCGUUGCUGCGAGCCGUGGAAUAGGUCACAGACACAGGUCGGAUCUGGUGUGGCUGUGGCUGUGGCUGUGACAUAGGCCAGUGACUGCAGCUCUGAUUGGACCCCUAGCCUGGGAAGUUUCAAAUGCUGCAGGAGUGGCCCUAAAAAAAAAAAAAAAUUUUUUUGUUAUUUAUUAAUUGUAAGAGAUAGAGGGGGGGAAUUAAUUUUUACAGAUAAAGACUAGACUGUUGGGCCAGUCUUUAUUUUCAGGGCUUUUGAGGAAAUGUUAGCAUCUGAAUUGUCAAAAACAAUUACCUUUUCAACAGAAAAAAGUAUAGCGGGUCAACCAAUCCUUGCUUUUUUUCUCUUGCUUGUUAUCCUUUAAAGGUAUAGCUAGUCAUUUCCACAUGUUAUUAUAUGACUUGUUCACAUGUGACUGUCCAGACGCUGCUGCCGAAUGGCAGUCUUCUGUGUUGUUGAGUCUCCACCAUCUCUGUGAAGGGUGCAGAUCUGUGGCCUGGCUCUUUCGUUUAGCCUGGGAGAGGUGAGGUGAGGCUGUGUUGGAAAGAUUUCCAGGGGGGAUUGGGGUGGGUAAGGAGAAGCUGGCGUUGGCUGGUCCUGUAAAGUAUCCGCUCCCUGGGCAGACAAUGUGCACAUUAACUAAAAAACUUCACUGGUAGCUGUGUGCAGGCCAGAAUCAGAAUGCGUGUCAGAAUCUGAGUGUCAUGGUGGGUUUUGCCUUCAUCCCUGCGGUGGGGAGCCCCGUCCUUCCUGUGGGGCAGCAGGUGUGGCGUGGAAUCAGACAUGCGAGCCCUCCGAGGCUUUAUUGUGCUGAGGGCUCGGCAGGGAGAUGCCAGGGGAGUAAGGUGGUUCCCGUCCUUGUGGCUGAAUGACACAUGAGGAACUAGGGACAAAAGGGAUGCUGGCGUGUGAAGAAAGCCUAAUAGUAGGCUUCUGGACAGGUGUUCACUUUAACAAAAGGCUUAAUCAAUCCAGGAGGAAACCUUGAAAACAAGUCUCUUGUCCCUCUCCCCCCAUCCCUCCUACCUAGAGAUAACAGUGGACACUCUACUUGCUUGGUGUUGACCUACAAAAGUGACAUUUCUUAGGAUUCAACCUAAUAAUCACAAUAGGGGCAUAGUUCUGUACCCUUCCUUAAAAAAAACUAAUUAAAAUUUAGAAUGUUCAUUAAUAUACGUUGGCCUGGUUUGUAUUUAUGUAUUUUGAAUGUGCAUUUUGCAGUAGGGCAGAGUUUUUCCCUUCUUGAGCUUUUGGCUGAGAGAGAUGCAUCGGGAGGAGAGAGUGGGCCUCUGACCUUGAAAAUCUGUCAGUGUGGCAGACCCUGGAUGCAGGCUGUCCCCAUCUCAACAUGAUUCAUUUGUGAUGGUGGUUGGCUUUGGAAUUGAGGUGAGAGGUGGGACUGAGCACAGUGAGGGAGCUGGCGUGGGGAGCAGUGCUGCCCACGUGGUUUCAGGUUGCAGACGCAGCUCAGAUCCCUCGUUGCUGUGGCUCUGGCGUAGGCUGACAGCUAUAGCUCCGAUUAGACCCCUAGCCUGGGAACCUCCAUAUGCCAAAGGAGUGGCCCAAGAAAUAUGGCAAAAAGACCAAAAAAACCCUUCCCCUCCCCCACAUAGAAGAAGAGCAGUUGGGGGAGGUGCCCCGGGAAAGACGUCCAGUCUCUGAAGUUGCACCAGGUGGGGCCCAAGAGCCGGACCUGCAGCCAGGGCGGCCUCUCCUCUUGUCCCCUGCUCACCAGGCUGCUGGAUAUGAUGCGUCUGAAGGCCUGGCAGGUGCCAGACAUCCUCCUGCUUUGAAUUCCGUGCAGAGAACACCCCCCUCGUCCACUGGGCCAAGUCCCCUUGCCCAGGCUUCCCUGCAUACACGGCGUGACCUUCCUGCACUGCUCCUGCCCACAGCCGUGGUGUCCAGCCCUGGCCCACCUCCUGCACUGCGGCCAGACUCCGGGCUCAGCAUCCUCCUGCUUUGCACUCAAUGCAGGGAGUGUGGCCUGGCCUUCCUUGCCAUUCAACAAGGACCACACGGGGCUCACUUGAUUGUGACACUUCUUGCUGAGCAGCCUGAAGCACAGAUGCUUUCAGAUAAAGUUGGGGGAUUUCCCACACCCCCUGAGGACCAGGCUGGGAUCCUACCAGCAGGUCGACCCUCUGGUUUUUGUGAGGCUCCCUUGUUGCUGCUGGUGCUGUGGUUGGAGGGGAGGCCCCAGGGGGCUGGAGGCAGUGGUCCUCGCCUCUGGGCUGGGUGGGAGCCUGGCAGGUCUUUGGCCUUCUUCCCUGACUCCUGGUCCUCCUCUGGCCGAGAGCUGCAUGGGGAUCAGAGGCUUCUCUGCCCAUGAGCCCUGUGCCGAGGCCCAAGCCUGCAGUUUCACACUCAUUUUGUCCUCAGAAGGUUUCCUGGCUCUGAAUCUCCGAUUCAGUCCCCUCCUGGUGGCGAAGCUGCAGGGCUAAGACUAGCAGCAGAUGUGCCCCAGGCCUCUGUCUGUGGCCGUGGUCCUGUCCAUGGUCCAUCGGGUCUCUUCCAGCCAGUUGCUUGGGAGAAUUUUAUGAUGUUUGGUGAUAUAAAACCGCCCUGCACCCCUACUGUGCUGCCUGAUGAUAUUAACUAACACUGCUAACUACACUUACAGACAGCACCAAACAGCAGUGCUAAUACUAAUGAUACUAACAGUGCUAAAUAACUAUGCUAACAAUACUAACUAUGCUAACUCAUACUAACUACAAUUACUACCAUUGCUAACUGUGCUUAUUAGCUACCUUGUUUUAUUGCAGUUGCUUUUUUGAGCUUUAAAAGUAACAUGCAUUUGGAGUUCCCACUGUGACAAAGUGGGUUAAGAAUCCAGCUGCAGUGGCUUGGGUCUGCAGAGGCUCGGGUUCAAUCCCCAACCCUACUCUGUGGGUUAAAGGUUCGGCCUAGGCCAUAGCUGUGACUCAGAUUCAGUCCCUGGCCUGGAACUUCCAUAUGCCACUGGUGUGG